AUAUUGUAUUCAAUACGUAUGUAUAUAUGUUUAUCCUUCACUUCAUUCUUUUUCUUUUUGAAGUUUUGAUGUAAAGAUUCCUUUACCAACGCAUUUAACUCCAUUUGUUAGAAUAGCUUCCAUUGAGUCUCUGCACCUAUCCUUUUUUUCUGAACCUUUGUUUGUUUUUCCAUUUGUUAGAAUAGCUUCCAUUGAGUCUCUGCACCUAUCCUUUU
rnacentral:lncRNA from 1 species